AUGUUGUUUCACAUGUUGGCAAUGGACGAGUGAAAUAAAGUAAUACCAGAAUAAAAUAGGCACCUCAAUAUGAUGAACUAAAACCAGCACAAACCAUUCUGAUAAAACAGAUAGACGGACAACUGUAAACAAUGCUGUAUUGUUCUUUGAAUGUCUGCAAGAAGGCCAUGUACUUAGGGGAUGAUUGUCACAGCGAUGGGGCAUCGUGAGCCCAGAUGUUGCACCUAUUGACAGGAUCCCCCACAGUUCCGACAACAGCCGUACACAAGACACCAUCUGGUGAUGCACGUCAAUGGGAGAAACUGUCAGAAGACAAAAAAAAGGAAGAAACAAAAACAAAACAAAGGUUCGGAAAUAAGACGUGCGUAGAGUUGUAGAGGGAAUCGUUGAUAUUAAUUUUUCUCUUUCAUUUCAUGGAAUAAUGGAGUAUCUCAUAUUCUAAUUAAGGCCACUGUUAUACGAUUGGCAAUCUCUAUCAGAAACUUGCUUAGCAGAUGAAUUUGAUGUUAAUGUUCAAAGUUGUCUCAUGGAUUAUGUUUACAAUGAAAUGUGAUUAUUUUUUGAAAUUUAAUUAAGAACAUUUUGCUGAAAAUAUAAAGUGCAUGAACAAUCUUUGAGUAUUUCUAAUGCAUAAUUACAAAGUGUAUCUUCUGUGAUAUAUUGUCUUCAGUAUAAUAUUUACUUCCUAAAGUGUAUUAUAUUCAUUACUACAAUGUGAUCCGAUAUGCAUGUCGUUCGGCUUAAGAAUGAAUAAACUCACACUCAUUGUCAAAAUC
rnacentral:sRNA from 1 species